rnacentral:rRNA from 1 species
CAGUCGCCACGGGAAUACAGAGGGUGCAAGCGUUAAUCGGAAUUACUGGGCGUAAAGCGCGCGUAGGUGGUUUGUUAAGUUGGAUGUGAAAGCCCCGGGCUCAACCUGGGAACUGCAUCCAAAACUGGCAAGCUAGAGUACGGUAGAGGGUGGUGGAAUUUCCUGUGUAGCGGUGAAAUGCGUAGAUAUAGGAAGGAACACCAGUGGCGAAGGCGACCACCUGGACUGAUACUGACACUGAGGUGCGAAAGCGUGGGGAGCAAACAGGAUUAGAUACCCCAGUAGUCCCUGUCUCUUAUAA